rnacentral:rRNA from 1 species
UACGUAGGGCGCAAGCGUUGUCCGGAAUUACUGGGCGUAAAGGGCGCGUAGGCGGCUUAUCAAGUCAGGCGUGAAAUUCCCGGGCUCAACCUGGGGGCUGCGCUUGAUACUGAUGAGCUUGAAUGCGGGAGAGGAUAGUGGAAUUCCCAGUGUAGAGGUGAAAUUCGUAGAUAUUGGGAAGAACACCGGUGGCGAAGGCGGCUCUCUGGGCCUUACCUGACGCUGAGGAGCGAAAGCGUGGGUAGCGAACAGG